UACGGAGGGGGCUGGCGUUGCUCGGAAUCACUGGGCGUAAAGCGCACGUAGGCGGAUUGCUAAGUCAGGGGUGAAAUCCUGGAGCUCAACUCCAGAACUGCCUUUGAUACUGGCGACCUUGAGUCCGGGAGAGGUGAGUGGAAUUCCGAGUGUAGAGGUGAAAUUCGUAGAUAUUCGGAGGAACACCAGUGGCGAAGGCGGCCUCCUGGCUCGAUACUGACGCUGAGGUGCGAAAGCGUGGGGAUCAAACAGG
rnacentral:rRNA from 1 species